AGCGAACGCUGGCGGCAGGCUUAACACAUGCAAGUCGAACGCCCCGCAAGGGGAGUGGCAGACGGGUGAGUAACACGUGGGAACGUACCCUUUGGUUCGGAAUAACUUGGGGAAACUCAAGCUAAUACCGGAUAAGCCCUUAUGGGGAAAGGUUUACUGCCGAAGGAUCGGCCCGCGUCUGAUUAGCUAGUUGGUGAGGUAAUGGCUCACCAAGGCGAGAAUCAGUAGCUGGUCUGAGAGGAUGAUCAGCCACACUGGAACUGAGACACGGCCCAGACUCCUACGGGAGGCAGCAGUGGGGACUAUUGGACAAUGGGGGCGACCCUGAUCCAGCCAUGCCGCGUGAGUGAUGAAGGCCUUAGGGUUGUAAAGCUCUUUUACCCGGGACGAUAAUGACUGUACCGGGAGAAUAAGCCCCGGCUAACUUCGUGCCAGCCGCCGCGGUAA
rnacentral:rRNA from 1 species